GAUGAAGAACGUAGCAAAAUGCGAUAAGUAAUGUGAAUUGCAGAAUUCAGUGAAUCAUCGAAUCUUUGAACGCACAUUGCGCCCGCCAGUACUCUGGCGGGCAUGCCUGUCCGAGCGUCAUUUCAACCCUCAGGGCCCUCCAGCAGGGCGCUGGUGUUGGGGAUCGGCAGUCCCAGCGGCUGCCGUCCCUGAAAUGUAGUGGCGGUCCCACCGUGACCUCCCCUGUGCAGUACAUCGCUCGCAGAGGGACAGCGGUGCGGCCACGCCGUAAAACGCCCAACUCUUCAAGGUUGACCUCGGAUCAGGUAGGACUACCCGCUGAACUUAAGCAUAUCAAUAAGCGGAGA
rnacentral:misc_RNA from 1 species